ensembl:snoRNA LOC120102084 small nucleolar RNA SNORA26
GUUCCUUCAGCUAAACAUAAAGAAGAAAAGCAGGCUAACACAGAAGGGUAAAGGAACUCUCCAUAAAACCACAGAAGAGGCUUCACUCCUCCUCUUUGAAUCCUCUGUCUGAGUGACAGUU